CCCUAACCUUCGUUUUCUCCUGAAUUUCCCAGCCCCCUCUGCCUCAGUGCCUUGUCACCCUCUGCUCCUUAGAAUCCUCAGCUGGGAAAGCUGAAGGCCGGGAGCCCGCAAGGCCCCACGGCGAAUCAGCAGCAAAGUUGGUCUGAAGCCUGUCGUCAGUGCCAUCUUUCCAAGCUGUUCCUGCCUGCGCCCAUUCCCUCAGAACCCUGCCGUCUGCAGCGGGGAGCAAUGGGUGGCAACUCUCUUGGGUGAUGGUCCCUAACCCUGAGGGAGCCCCGCUCACCCUGAGGCUUUGGUUCACCUAGCCAGUCCCAAAAAAAUCUUACCUGUACUUCAAGGCCUUCCUCCUUUCAGGUGCUAGCUUUUUAAUCAGCGCCUCUGACAUCAGACUCAAAGUCUUAGGCAGUCGAAGAUAGAAAAGACCUGAACCACCUUCCCUUUACAGACGGGAAAACUGAGGCCCAGAGGGAAAGAAAGUACCAUUUACUCAGCACCCCUGGUGUGCCAGACAUCACUUAAGGUGCUUUCUCAGGUGAUCACACUUCACUCAAAGGCAGAAAGAACGUGUGACUUGUCCGAGGUCAUCGGGCUGCGAAGUGCUUGAUCAGGACUCCCCAGGACUGCUCUGUUUUACAUGCAAACGUCAGCCCUCCCCAGAGCUUCUCCCUAACAUCCACGGAGCGCGUGAAAAUAAAGACGGGGAAACAGAGAAGGAAGAGCUAUCAAAUCACUGGAAGCCAGGAUAUAUUCUCAGGUGAUCAGUCACCUGUCAGCCCAGGAUGAAAAGGUGUUAAUUUGAAUGAAGAAAGAGACACAGCAAUUUUUUUCCCCACAGCAAUACAUCAAGUUGUUCUCCCGAUGACUUAGUGUGCUUGGCAAACUGUGCGAGCUGCACAAAAUUGAAUUCCCAGGUUUGGGGAAGCCUGGGCAGGCUUGAAGUACAUGAGGAUUUAUUGCUUUAGGUACUUAAAAUGCCUCCCACUGAAUUUGUUGUGACCUUCUCCCCCUGCCCACGGCCCCAAUU
rnacentral:lncRNA from 1 species